GGUUCUGUAUAGAACCUUUUGGUCAAUUAAAAAUAUAACUGCCUUUCCGAUUCAAAAACCAACUGCCAUUCCAGCAUGAACAUGCAAGAGGACAGUGGCUAAACCAACAGCAAGUAGCCUACCAAUAAACACAUUAUUUUUCAAUGUAUUAAGUAUUUCAGUGUGGAGCCAGUUGAGGGGACUAUGUUUAAUGAAGCCAUUAGAAGACUGUUGCUGACUGAGAGGAGUAGCCCAGAACUACCAGCGGCAGAAGAUCUCUCUUUUGGCUGCUGCUGACAACAACUGCAUGUACACUGAACAAAAAUACAAAUGCAACAUGUAAAGUGUUGGUCCUAUGUUUCAUGAGCUGAAAUAAAAGAUCCCAGAAAUGUUCCAUACUCACAAAAA